CCCGCUGAACUUAAGCAUAUCAAUAAGCGGAGGAAAAGAAACCAACAGGGAUUGCCUCAGUAACGGCGAGUGAAGCGGCAACAGCUCAAAUUUGAAAUCUGGCUCCCUCGGGGCCCGAGUUGUAAUUUGUAGAAGAUGCUUCGGGUGUGGUUCUGGUCUAAGUUCCUUGGAACAGGACGUCAUAGAGGGUGAGAAUCCCGUAUGUGACCCGGUACCUAUGCCCAUGUGAAGCUCUUUCAACGAGUCGAGUUGUUUGGGAAUGCAGCUCAAAACGGGUGGUAAAUUUCAUCUAAAGCUAAAUACUGGCCGGAGGGCGAUAGCGCACAAGUAGAGUGAUCGAAAGAUAAAAAGCGCUUUGGAAAGAGAGUUAAAAAGUACGUGAAAUUGUUGAAAGGGAAGCGCUUGCAACCAGACUUGCCCUCGGUUGAUCAACAUGGUGUUCCUCACCGGUGCACUCUGCUGAGGUCAGGCCAGCAUCGGUUUGGGCGGUUGGAGAAAGGCCGUGGGAAUGUGACUUCCUUCGGGGAGUGUUAUAGCCCUCGGUGUCAUGCGACCAGCCUGGACUGAGGACCGCGCCUUUAGUGGCUAGGAUGCUGGCAUAAUGGUGGUAAGCGACUCCGUCCUGAUACACGG
rnacentral:rRNA from 1 species